AUGUGCCCGAAUAGCUACUGGCAAUAUUUUGCUUGGUGCCACACUUUUCUCCCUGAUGGACAAAAGUACUAUACGGUGGGCUUGGCUGCUGCUUGCUGGGCCAUUUGGCUAGCUCGAAACCGAGCUACGUUCGAAAAGAAGAUUAUCAAAACGCCUUUUGAGAUUGUUUUCUCCAUGUGUUCUUUCCUACUGUACUGGACAGGGCUGCAGGAGGAGGAGGGCGCGAAGGAGCUGCGAAGCGGUGCUGAGAUGAUCAGGUCGAGCACGAUGCGCAUGAUGGAGAUGUGCAACGCGGCGAGGGUGUCGAUCGGAGGAGAUUGA
rnacentral:rRNA from 1 species